rnacentral:rRNA from 1 species
UAAAAUUUAUAAAAUUAGGUAGUAAAGAAAUUUCUGAAACCUAAAGAAUUUGGCGGUAUUUUAAAUAAUUGGAGGAACCUGUUAUUUAAUUGACAAUCCACAACAUAUCUUACCUAAAUUUUAUUUGUAUAUCGUCGUUUUGAUAAUAUUUAAAAAUAAUAAUCAAUUUAAAUAAAUUUUUUAAAUUCAGAUCAAGGUGCAGUAUAUUUAGGUUAUAAUGGGUUACAAUAUAUUUAUAUAAAAUGAAUAUAAAAUUGAAACUAUAUUGAAGGUGGAUUCAAAAGUAAGAUUAAAUUAAAAAGUUAAUUUGAUUAAUAAUUUAAAAUAUGC